AAACAGAACAGAGGGUUCUGUUUUGAAACAACAAACAGUUGAAAUGGGUUCCUAUGAGGAAAUGGGUUUUUCUGGGAAUAUGAGUCCCUUUGAUGAUGUAGCACUAAUCGAAGAAGGACCUCUUCUUUAGGUUCCUCUCUCUGCCUCUCUCUCAAACUUAAUAUCUUUUUUCCUUGUCUAUGAUGUUAGUCGUUACUUUGGCUUUUUUGUUUUUCUGAUAAUAACAAACACAACUAUGGUAACCCUAAUCAUGAUAAGUUUAGGUAGGAAUUGUGUGGAUUCAAGACAAUGUAGGAUGGGAUCUUGGUUUUGGCAUUCCCGCUUUAUUUAUGGGAGUAUCGAUUGUAAGCUUCUUUUUAGGCACACCAAUCUAUAGGUUUCUAAAACCAAGGGGGAGCCCCAUUAAAAGAAUUUGCCAGGUUUUGGUAGCAUCUGCCCUUGGAGUAGGAUUCGGGAACUUGUCUUGGAAGAUGAUUCAGAUCUUUGGGAUGAAAUAUUUGAGGAAGCUUUUCUUGGCAGGAUGAAAGCAAUAAUUGACUUGAGAUUUAGCGAGUUAACCGGUACUAUUGAUGUGAUGAGCUCGAUUUCAUCAUUAGGGGACACUUUUUCCAUGCUGAGUGAUGUUCAGGUUUACUUGAAUAGACCUUCUAUGGCUGGUGGAGUUUGGUUUUUAGAAUCCAAUUCUAGAAAGACAAGAGCUGCUUCUUCUGUGUUUAAAGUCCAGACUAAGGAAAAUGAAUUUCAGACUUGUCUUAAUGUCUAUUUUGGUCCUGAAGUAAGUUGAAUCAGGGAUGCAGUGGAUGUUUCCUGUCAGAGCAUUCUUGAAGAUCUUUUAAGUUUCUUAGAAUCUCUAAAGGCCUCUAGAAGAUUGAAGGAUCUUACACCUUAUCUACAAAGCAGAUGUUAUGACAGUGUCUUUGCUAUAUUGAUGACACUGAAAAAAGAGCUUGAUAAGGAAAAUGGCGUCAAAGAGAUUCCAACAACUAUCACUGUUGAAAAAUCACUUUUCAUUGGACGAUUGCUAUCUGCAUUUCAGAACCAUUCGAAGCAUAUACCCUUAAUACUUCGUUCUCCCUUAUUUUGGAUCAAUGGGAAUGCAUCUGCUGUUGGGAAAGUCCCUUCUCUAGUGAAACAUUCUAGAUUUGGAUCCGAGCCUUCAGGCUUUGAUAGUCCAGGAAGACAAACAAGCCUUGGCUCUAAAAGGUAAACUUCAUAUGCUGCAGCUGCCUUGUUUGGAGCAAGAGAAGGUACCACCCAUGAAUUGGAAGAACUCAAUAGAACUAUAGGGGAUCUUUGCAUUAGAGCUUACAACUUAUGGAUAUUAUAGCUAUCUGAUGAACUUUCUGCCAUUGCCUCACAAGAUCUCAAAUAGGAUGAUGCUUUAUCUUUGAGUACAUCCUGGAAGGGCUGGGAAGAUACCAUAGUCAAGCAAAAUCAGUCUAAUAGGAACCAAUCAGAUAUGAGAAGAAGAAGAAGAAAGAUAUUGCUAUUUUUUAAGGCCUUCGGGCAUAUCUAUCUAGAGUGGAAGCAUGUUAUGACAUUUCCUUUUUUUUUCAAUUUGUGGUGAUUAUUCUUUGUGAGAACUAGCUCAGGAACACAAUCAUCUAAUAUAUUAUUCUUUAUUAUUAAAG